UGCAAUGACUGUAGCCUGACUCCACUGGU
rnacentral:piRNA from 1 species